AGCAAAUGAUUUUGUACGGGAGUCCUCAACCUUUUUUCGAUAGAAAAACAUCCAUCGUGAGUAAGUACAUUAGCGAAUUGGAUGAUUGCGAGAAGCUAUUUAUUCCAAUGCAUGACGAUUGCCCUGGUCAUUGGUAUCUGUGCGUCAUUGACUUCAAAGACUUUGAUAUCCAAAUUUUGGAUUCAUUACGAUCGAAGAGUCGGGACGAGUUCCGGUUUAAGAGUGUGAAAAAAGUGGUUGAAUUUUGUCAGACGUUCUUCAAACUGUAUGACAUAG